GAUGAACGCUGGCGGCGUGCCUAAUACAUGCAAGUCGAGCGAACAGAUGAGGAGCUUGCUCCUCUGACGUUAGCGGCGGACGGGUGAGUAACACGUGGAUAACCUACCUAUAAGACUGGGAUAACUUCGGGAAACCGGAGCUAAUACCGGAUAAUAUAUUGAACCGCAUGGUUCAAUAGUGAAAGACGGUUUUGCUGUCACUUAUAGAUGGAUCCGCGCCGCAUUAGCUAGUUGGUAAGGUAACGGCUUACCAAGGCAACGAUGCGUAGCCGACCUGAGAGGGUGAUCGGCCACACUGGAACUGAGACACGGUCCAGACUCCUACGGGAGGCAGCAGCAGGGAAUCUUCCGCAAAGGGCGAAAGCCUGACGGAGCAACGCCGCGUGAGUGAUGAAGGUCUUCGGAUCGUAAAACUCUGUUAUUAGGGAAGAACAAAUGUGUAAGUAACUAUGCACGUCUUGACGGUACCUAAUCAGAAAGCCACGGCUAACUACGUG
rnacentral:rRNA from 1 species